UGGGGAAUAUUGGACAAUGGACGAAAGUCUGAUCCAGCAACGCCGCGUGAGCGAUGAAGGCCUUCGGGUCGUAAAGCUCUGUCAGAUGGAACGAAAGAAAUGAACCUAAUACGUUCAUUGUUGACGGUACUAUCAAAGGAAGCAUCGGCUAACUCUGUGCCAGCAGCCGCGGUAAGACAGAGGAUGCAAGCGUUGUUCGGAAUUACUGGGCGUAAAGAGCGCGUAGGUGGUUUUGUAUGUCUGGUGUGAAAGCCCUUGGCUCAACCAAGGAAGUGCGCUAGAAACUGCAAAACUCGAGUUCGGGAGAGGAUGGUAGAAUUCUCAGUGUAGAGGUGAAAUUCGUAGAUACUGGGAGGAACACCGGUGGCGAAGGCGACCAUCUGGACCGAUACUGACACUAAAGUGCGAAAGCGUGGGUAGCAAACAG
rnacentral:rRNA from 1 species